rnacentral:rRNA from 1 species
GACGAACGCUGGCGGUGUGCUUAACACAUGCAAGUCGAACGGAAAGGCCCUGCUUUUGUGGUGUGCUCGAGUGGCGAACGGGUGCGUAACACGUGAGUAACCUGCCCUUGACUUUGGGAUAACUUCAGGAAACUGGGGCUAAUACCGUAUCGGAGCUCCUGCUGCAUUGUGGGGGUUGGAUAGUUUCGGCGGUUGGGGAUGGACUCGCGGCUUACCAGCUUGUUGGUGGGGUAGUGGCUUACCAAGGCUUUGACGGGUAGCCAGCCUGAGAGGGUGACCGGCCACAUUGGGACUGAGAUACGGCCAAGACUCCAACAGGAGGCAGCAGUGGGGAAUAUUGCACAAUGAGCGGAAGCCUGAGGCAGCAACACCGCGUGCGGGAUGACGGCCUUCGGGUUGUAAACCGCUUUCGCCUGUGACGAAGCGUGAGUGACGGUAAUAAAUAAAGAAGCACCGGCUAACUACGUG